UACGGGGGGAGCAAGCGUUGUUCGGAUUUACUGGGCGUAAAGGGCGCGUAGGCGGUAGCACAAGUCAGUUGUGAAAUCUCCGGGCUUAACUCGGAAAGGUCAACUGAUACUGUGCGACUAGAGUGCGGUAGGGGUGACUGGAAUUCCUGGUGUAGCGGUGGAAUGCGCAGAUAUCAGGAGGAACACCGGUGGCGAAGGCGGUGCUCUGGGCCGAAACUGACGCUGAGGAGCGAAAGCGUGGGUAGCAAACAGG
rnacentral:rRNA from 1 species